rnacentral:rRNA from 1 species
UAAGGAAUAUUGCUCAAUGGGAGAAAUCCUGAGGCAGCAACGCCGCGUGGAGGAUGAAGGGUCUAUGACUUGUAAACUCCUGUAAAGAAGGAAAAAAUUCCCAUUUGAUGGGAGAUGAUGGUACUUCUGGAGUAAGCCCCGGCUAACUACGUGCCAGCAGCCGCGGUAAUACGUAGGGGGCAAGCGUUGUCCGGAUUUACUGGGUGUAAAGGGUGCUCAGGCGGAUUUGUAAGUCAGAGGUGAAAUCUUACAGCUUAACUGUGAAACUGCCUUUGAUACUGCAAGCCUAGAGUAUGGAAGAGAGAGAUGGAAUAUCUGGUGUAGCAGUGAAAUGCGUAGAUAUCAGAUAGAACACCAAUGGCGAAGGCAGUCACUUGGUCCAUUACUGACGCUAAAGCACGAAAGCGUGGGUAGCAAACA